rnacentral:rRNA from 1 species
AACGAACGCUGGCGGCAGGCCUAACACAUGCAAGUCGAACGAGUGGAGGAGGGGUGAGUAAUGUCUGGGAAACUGCCUGAUGGAGGGGGAUAACUACUGGAAACGGUAGCUAAUACCGCAUACUAUCAGAUGUGCCCAGAUGGGAGUAGCUUGUUGGUGGGGUAACGGUGCACCAAGACGACGAUCCCUGGUUGGUCUGAGAGGAUGACCAGGGACACUGGAACUGAGACAAGGUCCAGACUCCUAAGGGAGGCAGCAGUGGGGAAUAUUGCACAAUGGGCGCAAGCCGGGUGAAGCCAUGCCGCGUAUAUGAAGAAGGCCUUCGAGUUGUAAAGUAUGUUAAGCGGGGAGGCGGUACCCGCAGAAGAAGCACCGGCUAACUCCGUGCCAGCAGCCGCGGUAAUAC